AGAGUUUGAUCCUGGCUCAGGAUGAACGCUGGCGGCGUGCCUAAUACAUGCAAGUCGAGCGAACAGAUAAGGAGCUUGCUCCUUUGACGUUAGCGGCGGACGGGUGAGUAACACGUGGGUAACCUACCUAUAAGACUGGGACAACUUCGGGAAACCGGAGCUAAUACCGGAUAAUAUGUUGAACCGCAUGGUUCAAUAGUGAAAGAUGGUUUUGCUAUCACUUAUAGAUGGACCCGCGCCGUAUUAGCUAGUUGGUGAGGUAACGGCUCACCAAGGCAACGAUACGUAGCCGACCUGAGAGGGUGAUCGGCCACACUGGAACUGAGACACGGUCCAGACUCCUACGGGAGGCAGCAGUAGGGAAUCUUCCGCAAUGGGCGAAAGCCUGACGGAGCAACGCCGCGUGAGUGAUGAAGGUCUUAGGAUCGUAAAACUCUGUUAUUAGGGAAGAACAAACGUGUAAGUAACUGUGCACGUCUUGACGGUACCUAAUCAGAAAGCCACGGCUAACUACGUGCCAGCAGCCGCGGUAAU
rnacentral:rRNA from 1 species